rnacentral:rRNA from 1 species
GACGAACGCUGGCGGCGUGCCUAAUACAUGCAAGUAGAACGCUGAAGGAGGAGCUUGCUUCUCUGGAUGAGUUGCGAACGGGUGAGUAACGCGUAGGUAACCUGCCUGGUAGCGGGGGAUAACUAUUGGAAACGAUAGCUAAUACCGCAUAAGAGUAGAUGUUGCAUGACAUUUGCUUAAAAGGUGCAAUUGCAUCACUACCAGAUGGACCUGCGUUGUAUUAGCUAGUUGGUGGGGUAACGGCUCACCAAGGCGACGAUACAUAGCCGACCUGAGAGGGUGAUCGGCCACACUGGGACUGCGACACGGCCCAGACUCCUACGGGAGGCAGCAGUAGGGAAUCUUCGGCAAUGGACGGAAGUCUGACCGAGCAACGCCGCGUGAGUGAAGAAGGUUUUCGGAUCGUAAAGCUCUGUUGUAAGAGAAGAACGAGUGUGAGAGUGGAAAGUUCACACUGUGACGGUAUCUUACCAGAAAGGGACGGCUAACUACGUG